ACUAUAAAUGAAUGACUAAAAACAUGUACUGUAUUUGAUUUUUAUUAUCCUCACUUGAUCAAACCUAUGCUAUGUGCAUUAACUAAAUUCAGAAUAUACCGCGUCCGAGGGGGCCAUGAAUAAUGCCAAGGAGGAGCCCAGGAGGGGACGCCACGCCCUCUCUCCAGCUGUACUGUUUCUCUCUGCCAGCAGCCUGCACAGUGAGGCCAUCAAGCCAUUAAUGAGUCCCAGCACUGAUAAUGAAGCCACAGAGGUGGUCUGAGCAAGUGUGGCAGAGGAGCUGGAGCACAGGAGGAAGGUAGAUUAGGAUAAUUACCUGGCCACGGGGGAACGAUGAGAAAGAUGUCUCGCUACCUGCAGGCCUCGAUCGAAGGAGAAAGUGCAAUAUAAUGAGGUGCGGACACCCUUUGCUCAGAAAGGAAAGAAAAGUUUCCUCCACAACCCUCGCAUGUGCUGUCCUGUACUGUACGUAUGUGUUUAUAUGUUGUUUAUGUAGCUGUGCUGUAGGGUUUCUCACACAUACUGUACGUAAGUCCUAAAUAUCCACACUCACGGAGACUUUGAAGAGCCUAUGAGGUCAGGUUUUAAAUUAUGGUCUGCACCCACUCCAAGCUUUCUCUCCCCACUCCUGUAAAUCCAUUUUCCACACAAUGCAUUUCAAAUCAAAGCAGCGUCGCCAUACGAGGCCUUAGGAAACAUUUAGCCAUAGUGCAGUACUUUCAUGUAUGAUAGCAUAGCCCCUGUGUGCUUUGAUGUGCUCACUUUUUUUAAUGCUUUAUUAAUAAUAACACACU
rnacentral:lncRNA from 1 species